AUUUUUAACUCCUUUAUUUUCAAACUUGUAGUCUUCAGCUGCAACCGAUGCUGCUGACUCAUGUGACAUCACUUGAGGCAAUUUUGGACUUAACGCUACUCCCUCUGGA